rnacentral:rRNA from 1 species
AUUGAACGCUGGCGGCAUGCCUUACACAUGCAAGUCGAACGGCAGCACGGUUGCUUGCACCUGGUGGCGAUGGGCGAACGGGGGAGUAAUACAUAGGAACAUGUCCUUUAGUUGGGGAUAGCCCGACGAAAGCCGGAUUAAUACCACAUACGAUCUCCGGAUGCGAGCGGAGGCCCGUGAGCUUCCGACCUCUCGGGUUUGCAGAUGCCUGAUUAGCUAGUUGGUGGGGUAAAGGCCUACCAAGGCGACGAUCAGUAGCUGGUCUGAGAGGACGACCAGCCACACUGGGACUGAGACACGGUCCAGACUCCUACGGGAGGCAGCAGUGGGGAAUUUUGGACAAUGGGCGAAAGCCUGAUCCAGCAAUGCCGCGUGUGUGAAGAAGGCCUUCGGGUUGUAAAGCACUUUUGUCCGGAAAGAAAACCUUGGCCCUAAUACGGUCGGGGGAUGACGGUACCGGAAGAAUAAGCACCGGCUAACUACGUG